AUCCACCCAAGACCCGGUUCCUCGAUUCCCAUCGUUACGACCGAGGAGAAAAGAGAGUAAAUUUUCCUAUUAUAGCCUUCUCUCGCACCUUCCCCGCUUCCCACCAGCCGUCUCCACUGUCCUCACCGUCCCCAUCCUCAUCCAUGGCGAAAUCUUCGCCCCCAGCCUCGUGAAGAUCUAGCACGUCCGCCAUCUCGCCUUCGAUCGAGAUCUCGUCUGUGCCGCUCAGACACUAGGUACCUCGGGAAACUGUCGCAGAGGGGAAAGGUCGCCAGUCAAGCUGACCAAUCAAAGGUUAACUCUAAAUCCCUCCCUCUGCACGGUAAAAACACGCAAAUUGGGGCGGGCCUAGUGAGGAAAGAUACCGGAAGUGUUUCUGUGGCCAUCUUGAGCAGGUCGCAAGCUAAAUCCUGCCAUCUUAGGAGAAACGGGGCUUUGCCAUGUUGACCAGGCUGGUCUCAAACUCCUGGCCUCAAGUGAUCCACCCGCCUCAGCCUCCCAAAGUGCUGGGAUUACAGGCCUGAGCCACCAUGCCCGGCCAGGAAGAUGCUGUUGACUGGGGCAAAGAAUAAUGGGAGAAAAACAGCUGGGUCCUAAAUAACAGAGGGAAACCAACUUUCAAUAAAGUAUUCAACAACUAAUCCACAAAGCAGAUAACUGAACUUGCUGGCCUGCUCUAUAGUGCUGUUGCUUAAAAAGUCAUCUGUGAAGAAAACCAGAGGGAGAAAUUUCACCUGCCAAAGUGGAUAAAGAG
rnacentral:antisense_RNA from 1 species